rnacentral:rRNA from 1 species
AUUGAACGCUGGCGGCAGGCCUAACACAUGCAAGUCGGACGGUAGCACAGAGAGCUUGCUCUCGGGUGACGAGUGGCGGACGGGUGAGUAAUGUCUGGGAAACUGCCCGAUGGAGGGGGAUAACUACUGGAAACGGUAGCUAAUACCGCAUAACGUCUUCGGACCAAAGUGGGGGACCUUCGGGCCUCACACCAUCGGAUGUGCCCAGAUGGGAUUAGCUAGUAGGUGGGGUAAUGGCUCACCUAGGCGACGAUCCCUAGCUGGUCUGAGAGGAUGACCAGCCAAACUGGAACUGAGACACGGUCCAGACUCCUACGGGAGGCAGCAGUGGGGAAUAUUGCACAAUGGGCGCAAGCCUGAUGCAGCCAUGCCGCGUGUAUGAAGAAGGCCUUCGGGUUGUAAAGUACUUUCAGCGGGGAGGAAGGCGAUGAGGUUAAUAACCGCAUCGAUUGACGUUACCCGCAGAAGAAGCACCGGCUAACUCCGUGCCAGCCGCCGCGGUAA